UACGGGGGGAGCAAGCGUUGUUCGGAUUUACUGGGCGUAAAGGGCGCGUAGGCGGUCGUGACAAGUCACUUGUGAAAUCUCCGGGCUUAACUCGGAACGGUCAAGUGAUACUGUCGGACUAGAGUACAGAAGGGGCAACUGGAAUUCCAGGUGUAGCGGUGAAAUGCGUAGAUAUCUGGAGGAACACCGGUGGCGAAGGCGGCGUUCUGGACUGCAACUGACACUGAGGAACGAAAGCCAGGGGAGCAAACGGG
rnacentral:rRNA from 1 species